rnacentral:rRNA from 1 species
AUACGUAGGUGGCGAGCGUUGUCCGGAAUUAUUGGGCGUAAAGGGUGCGUAGGCGGUCUAUUAAGUCUGAUUUGAAAGGUCAUGGCUUAACCAUGGAAUUGGAUUGGAAACUGGUAGACUUGAGUGCAGAAGAGGAAGGUGGAAUUCCACGUGUAGCGGUGAAAUGCGUAGAGAUGUGGAGGAACACCAGUGGCGAAGGCGGCCUUCUGGUCUGUGACUGACGCUGAUGCACGAAAGCGUGGGUAGCAAACAGGAUUAGAUACCCUGGUAGUCCACGCCGUAAACGAUGAGUACUAAGUGUCGGGGGAAACCUCGGUGCUGAAGUUAACGCAUUAAGUACUCCGCCUGGGAAGUACGGUCGCAAGACUGAA